rnacentral:rRNA from 1 species
AACGAACGCUGGCGGCAGGCUUAACACAUGCAAGUCGAGCGCGUGAGCAAUCACGAGCGGCAGACGGGUGAGUAACGCGUGGGAAUCUACCUUUUGCUACGGAAUAACUCAGGGAAACUUGAGCUAAUACCGUAUGUGUCCUUCGGGAGAAGGAUUUAUCGGCAAAGGAUGAGCCCGCGUUGGAUUAGGUAGUUGGUGGGGUAAUGGCCUACCAAGCCGACGAUCCAUAGCUGGUCUGAGAGGAUGAUCAGCCACAUUGGGACUGAGACACGGCCCAAACUCCUACGGGAGGCAGCAGUGGGGAAUAUUGGACAAUGGGCGCAAGCCUGAUCCAGCCAUGCCGCGUGAGUGAUGAAGGCCCUAGGGUUGUAAAGCUCUUUCACCGGUGAAGAUAAUGACGGUAACUGGAGAAGAAGCCCCGGCUAACUUCGUGCCAGCCGCCGCAGUAAAAC